CUUUGCUCUUAGGUUCUGGCUAGCUGAGGCAGAGAAGCUCCCUGGACUGUGGGUUUUUUUCCUUUUUCUUGGAAUUGUUUGAACCUGCUCUGGCCCGAAAACCCAAAAGAGCACUGGGAGGUCACACCUGUGGCACACCAGGCCUGGCCUGGGCUGCGGCAUUUCCCAGCACUGGAGGGUCUGAGAAUAGACUGAGUGAGCUGGGCUGCUUGAGUCCCCACAAAAGGGACUCUUCUGAAUUUGUCGUCUCUUCAGAGCAGCGAGUGGUUUUGCUGUUUAAUGUUGUUCAUUUUUGUGCUGGGAAGUGCUUUGCCUGUUAAAUAAACAGUUUUUUUCCACUUCUCUCUGAGGAAAUAUUUCCCUGAACCAGCUGGGGGAAGACUGCUUGAAUCUGUUUCCUAAAGGGACCCCAUUCAGAGAUUUUCUCCCUAAAUUUGCCCUAAACCAGGAGACCCCGCCAGAUUCCUGUCCUAAAGGAUACUCAGGAACAAUGAUCCAUAAGGAUUUCCUGAGGAGUGACUUCUUAGACCUUUGGUGACAACUCGUCUCCUCUGAUGGCUGCAGACUGUAAUGUUUCAUUGCAAGCACAGCUGGCUGUUUGGGGUGGCUUACACGCAGAGCUGCACCUGCUAGAAUAGAUGCUAAGAAGAGAGAUGUGUUCUGAGAGAUACAAAGGCAUUGUCUGACCCUUGAUGGAUUGCAUGGACAAAAUAGUUUGUUAAGACCACCCUGCAUGACCUCCUGCAUUGCCCAUCUGCUGGCUCCUGGCUGGGUGACAGAAAGCCUUUCAAGAUGCUACCAAACCUAUGGAAAUUACUCUCAUGGAAGCUGGGAGAAGCAGCUGUACUGCAGAGAUGCCAACCAUUAGUAGAAUAGAUCAAUUGUUUUAUGAGUUUAAUGCUAUUUAUCUUCUAAUUUAUUUACCAGAGAUGCAUGUAAUGCUCAAUGAAAGCCAGUGUGCUGAGAAAAGUCUUAAAAACACUGUUCUAUUUGCUAAUGUAUUUUUCUUAUUAAAAUUUUUGUUUGUUUGUUUUAGAAUAUUUAAAAAUUUAAAAAAAAGAAACAAGAAAGUGAGCCAGCCAGGUCUCAUCUUCUCGUUUCUAAUUACUUGCCCUACCUAGGACAAGGUCCCCAUUGCCCUGGAAGUAUGUGGUCCUUGCUCCAAAGGCUCACAUGCUGAGGGGUGAACGGACACUUUGUGUAACUGUGUCUGAAGUUCAGUCUGGUCUCCACAAAAGUGUGAGAAAGUUGCUGGCUUGGUACUUGCCUGCACAAGUACUGCAAUCUGCUCUGUGUUUAGUACAGGUAUUUGUAAUGGCUGGGACCUCACGGCAAGCACUGCCCACCUCUGUACCAAGUAGAAUUAAUUGCAGGAUAGAGGUCCACUGCAGAACAGAUAAGAGGGAUGUAGAAAAAUGACAGAGGCCAGACAGCAUUAGAUAAAUGGUGGUGAGAGAGCCUGCAUUAAUAGCAAUAAUGUAGCUGUGUUUCCUGAAAAGAGAGCACGAAAUUCCCUAGUGUGGACACACUUCUUGUUGGCCAAAACACAUUCUGAAUUCCUCAAUAAUCAGGCAGGAAAUGGUAAAAUCCAUCAGACAAAAUGAACAGUAUGUUAUUUUUUCCAACAUUAAAAAUAUAUUUUAGGUCAUAACUAUUACAGAAAAAAAAACUCGCAACAUUUUAUGGCCGAUCAGAUUUAUUUUUUCUGCCAUACAAUUUUUUUCAGUUAUGUACAGCAAGGGGAAUUUCUGUACACAAAGAUGUGCUUUAGGAGCUUUGUUUCCAUCCAGAUCAGUACUUUACCUAAUAGGUGCAUUACUCAAAAGUACUCACUGUUCUUUCAAAAAUUCUCUCAAAUAGAAAUUAUUUUUUAUCAGCUUCCCAGUCAAGCAACCAGACAGAAAAGUAGAAUUAUAAUACCCAUGAGUUUUGUGCUUUGCGUAAACAGCUGGAGACGGGUAAUUUCUGAUUUGUUUUUAUCAGUUUGUGUGAUUUUUGUCUAGUUUGCAUCAUGAGUGAAAUCAGUAUUGACUCUACCACAACAGAUCUACAGCCUUGUACCUACCUUGCCUUGGUUAGCUGUUCUUAGAGCCUCCUACAAGGAUUUCCUGUUGCCUCCAUUUUAGAGCAGUUCUGUCUUUUCUCCAUUGAGUGGAAAUUAGUAAGACCCAGCACACGCUGCUGCCUGAGUUCAGUCAGCAGAGUAACACAGUGAUUCCUUCCAGCUUCUUUGUUUGUAGAUCAAGAGGAAGGAGGAUGCCAACUUCAUAACUUCUCCCCAUUGUGCCCCAGAGGUUAGGCACCUUGCCAUAUACAGAUGCUAUCAAAAAUUGAAUAAUUUCAUAAAUAAACUGUGAAUUAACAACAGUCUAUGUAAAUGUAUGCUUUGGUUCAAGACUGAUGUAUUCCAUUCUUUGAGAACAUUCUCUAAAUAAACCGAAUGUUUUCAUUUUA